GGCUGGUCCGAGUGCAGUGGUGUUUACAACUAAUUGAUCACAACCAGUUACAGAUUCUUUUGAUUCUCCAAUCCCGCUGCUUCACUUGACUAGCCUAAA
rnacentral:Y_RNA from 1 species